UACAUUGAAAGCUUGCCUAAGGUAGUC
rnacentral:piRNA from 1 species